rnacentral:pre_miRNA from 1 species
GGGCAAAGGUUGGGCAAGAUUCUGGCAAAACUUCGAUUCAGGCUGCAUCAAAGUUUCACCCAAGUUUCACACAACUCUUGCCA